GAUGAACGCUGGCGGCGUGCCUAAUACAUGCAAGUCGAGCGAACAGACGAGGAACUUGUACCUCUUGCAUUAGCAGCGGACGGGUGAGUAACACGUGGAGAACCUACCUAUAAGAGUGGGAUAACUUCGGGAAACCGGUGCUAAUACCGGAUAAAAUAUUUAACCACGAGGUUCAAUAGUGAAAGACGCAUUUGCUUUAACCAAUAAAGAGAUCGCCUCGGAUUUAGCUGGUUGGUAAGGUAACGGCUUCCCAAGGCGACGUACCGUAGCCGACCUGAGAGGUGGAUCGCCCACAUGGGACCUGAGAACCGGCCCAGAUUCCUACGGGAGGCGGCAGUGGGGAAUCUUCGGCAAUGGGCGAAGGCCGGACGGAGAAACGCCGCUUGAGGGAUGAGGGUUUCCGGAUCGUAAAACUCUGUUAUUAGGGAAGAACAAAUGUGUAAGUAACUGUUCACGUAUUGACGGUACCUAAUCAGAAAGCGACGGCUAACUACGUG
rnacentral:rRNA from 1 species